AGCAGCCGCGGUAAUUCCAGCUCCAAUAGCGUAUAUUAAAGUUGUUGCAGUUAAAAAGCUCGUAGUUGAAUUUCGGGAUUAGUACGUUGGUCGUGCCUUCGGUACGUACUGGUGUUACUGAUUCCUACCUUCUGACGAACCAUCAUGUCAUUAAUUUGGUGUGGCGGGGAAUCAGGACUGUUACUUUGAAAAAAUUAGAGUGUUUAAAGCAGGCUCGCGCUUGAAUACAUUAGCAUGGAAUAAUGAAAUAGGACGUUGACCCUAUUUUGUUGGUUUCUAGGAUUGACGUAAUGAUUAAUAGGGAUAGUUGGGGGCAUUAGUAUUCAAUUGUCAGAGGUGAAAUUCUUGGAUUUAUUGAAGACUAACUACUGCGAAAGCAUUUGCCAAGGAUGUUUUCAUUAAUCAAGAACGAAAGUUAGGGGAUCGAAGACGAUCAGAUACCGUCGUAGUCUUAACCAUAAACUAUGCCGAC
rnacentral:rRNA from 1 species